AUAGUUUUGAGCGAGAGUCCCUCAACUGCAAACAUUAUUGCCCAACAGUGUCAUAAACUAUAUCAGAUUCGGAAAAUAUAUGCAAGAAUGGCCAACGUUGAGAGGUGGAAGAGGGCAAGGACUGCUAGGAGGGCGGAAUGGUUGGCUAGAAACAAGGGCAAGCGUAUCGGACACUAGUAAGGAAUCUCGAUGCAUCCAUCCUUGUUAUAUCAAGUGUCAAGUGUGUGUUUCAUUUUGUCCCAAAUCCUAUUGUAUGCUUGGAAUAUACUCUCUCUCUUUAGAGAUGAAUGCAAGUAGUUCGUCCAGGAGGGGAUAUACAUAUGGCCUAAUUGCUAGUGUUUAUGUAACCUCAACAAGCGGUAGUAAUACUACAACCUUCCACUGGUAUUCUCGAAGGUUUAUACACAAAAUAUAUAAGAAAUGGCUUCAUGAAGAGAAAAUAUUAAUAUAUUAUUAAUACAUACUAAUUACCUAAAUUCCUACUUAGUAGUAUUAGUGUACAAUGAAUAAAAUUAAGUUUAUUUUGUGCGUGUGUGAAUGUUUAUACAUUAAACCGUCACCUAUUAGUAUUUAAAUAAGUAUUAAUGUAUUUUUGUUCCUAUAUGAAUAUUUGUUGGAAAUUCAAGUUUAUAAAGCUUGUAUAUCCCCAGUUUAAGGACAAAUUAAGAAACAGAGAUAGAGUUUCCGGUGGUUGAUGAUCUCAUGUAAUGUGUACAUUGCAUAAUAUUUUUUUAGCUGUACCGAUAUUCCAGCAAACAGAAAGAUCGCGUAAAAGAUUUAGCUGUUACAGAUCUUCCAGCUGGUGUAGCAGUAAAACAAAAGAAGCGCAGCAUGUUCCUAUGAUGCUGUAUAUUAGAAAGUUCACUUCUCGUCCAUAACCCAGUACCUAAAUAUGUAUAAAGUAAAGCCUAAACUAAUUACAGACGCUCCAAACACUACACUGAAUUGAACCCACAAAUAGGAGAUAAAUGCCUCGAGCACAAUUGCCUCCCACAACCAAAACCACACCAAGGCGCCAACAACCACUUGGCUGACCGUAUGAAAUUGUUGGGAAACCCGUAACCAUGACUGCAAAACUAGCAACACAACAUGAGAAAUCUACAAUUCUGGGCGUUUUAAUUUUCCGACAAUAAAAAUCUAGAUUGAAAGUGCAACAAUAAUGAACCCAUAAGACAACUAAUCUAGUGGACAUGGAAUUGGUCAAUUAAAUUAACCAAUAAACUAGAUGUACAAGAACACAUUUGUUUUUCUAUGAUAAACUAGUUAGAAUUAACAAAUGAAAAUCUUAAUAUCUACUUUAUAUCCAAUCUAGCUUCCGGAGAUUACAUUUCAGGAAAGAUUAGGGUUCUUAUUGAUAGAAUGACUUGAUUCAUAUGCUAAUGUGAGUAUGUGACACAAGCUACUAUGCAAUCAAAACAAGUGUAAGAGUGUAUUGGAAUUUGUCAGUUAUCAAUUUUUUUUUUAAUUUUAAAUUUGUCCAGGUAUAUUUGCUCUACAUUAUUACUAGCUUUACCGUCCCCUAGCCGUUAAAAACUGAUUACAAAGUCUGGACGAUCAAAUUAACAAGUAAUUUUACAAGAAUAUGAACUCCUAUAAAUAACGGGGAAGUUAUUGGUGAAUUGGGUAUUUGUUACUAUUUUAUAGGAGUACCAAGGAAGUCCAUUAAAAGAGUUUAGAUGAUACUUACAAAAUAUGAACCUAGUGCCAAGAGAAACCCAGCAAGAGUUGUUGCAAGUCCAUUCACACCAAGCCAUUCCAUUACUGCAAUAGUAGCCAGUAAAAAGGAAUAUUGCAAAUUAGAAACAGUAAUCUGUUUAUUUAUUUAUUAUGUAAAGGGCAAUUCCAUGACUAUACAUGCUUAUGAAAAAUAUAUUGAUGUGGAGUUUCCAAAACUCCAAAUAAGAACUUUGGGCCCAAAGGGUACACAGUGCACAACCCGGAAGAGUUUUGGUUGUGGGGUGCCUCCGUAAAGAAUAAAAAAUAAAAACACUUCAUUAGAUACCAACAGAUAGGCCUGACAAGAUAUGGUUAUGAGUUGGUUUUGAUUUUAGUUUUCAAAAUAUGGUUAUGGUUCCAUUUAAGAACUAAAAUCAUAUUAACCAUUUUUAAUAUGGAUAAUGUGGGUUGGAAGUUAUGGUUAAAAACUAUAUUAACCAUUUUAAUAUUGUUAUGAGUUAUGGGUUAUGGUUUCAGUUCAUUUAAGAACUAAAAUUAUAUUAACUAUUUUUAAUAUGAAUAAUGUGGGUUGGAACCAUAUGGUUAUGGUUAAAAACCAUAUUAACCAUUUUAAUACUGUUAUGGGUUUCAUGAAGACUUGAUUUGNNNNNNNNNNNNNNNNNNNNNNNNNNNNNNNNNNNNNNNNNNNNNNNNNNNNNNNNNNNNNNNNNNNNNNNNNNNNNNNNNNNNNNNNNNNNNNNNNNNNCCACCUAUCCCACCCCCCCUCAAUUUUUGAUCAUUUUACGGAAGCAAGUACUGACUUGUUUUAUCAGUGGCAUGCUUAAAUCCUAGUGAUUGUUUCGCUCGUUUUGAUAAGGACAAAUUGAUUCAUCUCGCUAGCAUUUAUUCAAUGACUUUUUUCCAAUGGAUCUUAUGAAACUUCAUAGUCAACUAGAUAAUUACAUUUCUGAUAUGCGGACAAAUCAAGAGUUUUUGGAAGUUAAAGGGAUUAACUGUCUUGCAAGAAAGCUCGUAGGUACUAAGAAACAUAUUGUAUUUCCUUUAGUAUAUCGGCUUCUAAAGUUGGCAUUAAUCUUAUCUGUUGCGACUGCUACUGUUAAAAGAGCUUUUUCUACGAUAAAGAUAAUUAAGAGUAAUCAAGUUGAAAGACUUGAUUACAGUAGGAUAUGAAUAUUAAUAUCAAAUGUUUUGUUUAUUUUUAAAUUUAGAGGUGAGACUAUUAAUCUAUAAAUUAUAAAUGACUUAAUAAUCUUAAAAUUAUAAUUAUAAUUAUAAAUAUUUUUGAAAUUGGAUUCGUGAUGAAGAGGAGCUGGGCCUGAAUUUAUAUGUUUUAUAGAUGACUAUUAAACAUUUUGAAUCAAAAAUUUUGAUGUUGUAGCCUUGUAGCAUAUAUAUAUAUAUAUAUAUAUAUAUAUAUAUAUAUAUAUAUAUAUUAUAUAUAUAUAUAUAGUCCGUUUUUUCAGCGAACUAUAAGGAGUGAAUUAAGAAUGAAUCAGCUAUAGAGACGGGUUUUUUCGUCACUAUAGCAUAGAAAGUCGACGAAAAAAUCGAUCAUUAUAGUCGAUUCAGUUUUUUUAGUUCGCUGAAAGAAAUGGGAUUAUAUAUAUAUAUAGAUAUAUAUGCAAUAAUAAUAAUGGUGCACCUUAGGAAGGAGGGAGGGGAAACCGAGUCAAAAGUAAAGAAGGGUAGACAGACUGUAGGUGAUCAGCGGGAUAUAAUAUAACAUCACCUUAUUUUUCAGGACUAUGUCUCCUACCUCUGGGCCUAAACUACAAGUACAGAUUACCUAGAUGGUGGGGGCCCAAAUCGGCAUUGCAGCUGGCCACGUGAACGGAUCAGAUACUAUUUGAGUUUGGGACAAAGCGACGCUUACGGUUGGUUUAAAGGCUAUCCUUGUAAUAAAAUUAUUAAUUUCAAAAUUUUUAUUUAUUUUUAAAUUUAAAUUUAAAAUUAUUAAUUUAAAAAUUAUAAAAUAACUUAAUAUAAAAUUAUUUAAUAACUUAUUCAAUUAGGUAGGAUUAUAUUUUAACAUAACCUAUUAAAGUACGACUUAAAUAAUUUUUUAAUUAUUUUAUUUUAUGUCAACUUAUAAGUGAGUUACUCAACCGUUUUUUAUUACAGUCAACCUACUAUACUUUAUUUUUCUAACAAAAAAUUUUCUUCUAAAGUUGGCAUUAAUCUUACUGUUGCGACUGCUACUGUUGAAAGAGCUUUUUAUGCGAUAAAGAUAAUUAAGAGUAGGUUGCGCAAUUACAUGGCAGAUCAAAUGAUGAAUGAUUGCUUGAUUACAUACAUCGGAUUAUAUUAUGCAACGAUUUCAACGAAUGAAAACACACAGAGGGCAAUUGUAAUUAUUAUAUUCUACUAGUUAUUUUUUGUGGAUAAGUUUGAUGGUUACAACAAUGACAUAUUAUAUUUUUGUGGUUAUAUAUUUGAGUCGUUUUUUGUUACUAUAAUUAUCAAUUUUAAUUUAUUGUCUGAUACUCUAAUUAUUGACCCCACUACGAACCAAUGUUGGUUUCGCCACUGCACACACAUAUACACAGAGUAAAGGUCAAGGAAAAGAGAAAAAUAAAAUAAAAUUAGACAAAUCCUAAGCUGUAUAAAAAUAAUCGUAUCCUUGUCAUCCACGCGACUCUUAUCAUAGUUCAUCCAAAAGUUUACAUCAUUGGAGCAAAGACUAGCAAAUUUACAGCUUUAAAUUUAAAAAAUCCAUAAAUUUAAUAUAUGUAUCCAAUAUGGAAAAGAUACUAACCAGGUGAUUGAGAGUGGAUUCUAGUCCACCAGCUGCAAAAUUUGGGUGAAACGUCAAAAGAAACUUGUUGUUCAAGGGCUCCAAUCCCUUCAUCUCCAUUACUCUCUCUGCAUACAUCAGUUAUAAUGGACUCAGCCAUGGUGAUUAGACUCCUACCCCCUCUUUCCAAGGUCGUUAACUUUGAGUGCAAAAUGGAUUUGCGAGGUUUUAAUUCUGGAAAGCAAGUAAGGAUUGUGGUGGGUUUGUUUAAAG
rnacentral:lncRNA from 1 species